rnacentral:misc_RNA from 1 species
UCCGAGUUGACCCCGGCAGUCUCCCGUGAGUCCCCACCAUCAUGUGCUGGCAACACGGAACGAGGGUUGCGCUCGUUGCGGGACUUAACCCAACAUCUCACGACACGAGCUGACGACAACCAUGCACCACCUGUACGCAGCCCUUACGGACCCCCCAUCUCUGGGAGAUUUCUGCGCAUGUCAAGCCUUGGUAAGGUUCUUCGCGUUGCGUCGAAUUAAGCCACAUGCUCCGCCGCUUGUGCGGGCCCCCGUCAAUUCCUUUGAGUUUUAGCCUUGCGGCCGUACUCCCCAGGCGGGGCGCUUAAUGCGUUAGCUGCGGCGCGGAACCAGUGGAAACUGACCCCACACCUAGCGCCCAACGUUUACGGCGUGGACUAC